GAGCACUUGAUUUAGCUACACAUAUACUAAAAUUGGAACAAUACAAAGAAGCCUAGCAUAGUCCCUGCACAACGGUGAUGACACCCAAAUCCAUGAAGUGUUCUGUUUUGCU
rfam:Cavia porcellus supercont2_6 genomic scaffold, whole genome shotgun sequence.